rfam:Endozoicomonas numazuensis strain DSM 25634 scaffold00001, whole genome shotgun sequence.
CUAUCAACAUCGUGAGGUGUUGAGAUGGGGAGGCAGAAGUCAGCAGAGGCCAUAGUAGGUUUGUUACCGCAAGCUGAAGGGU